rnacentral:tRNA from 2 species
GAGAGUGUAGCUCAGUUGGACAGAGCGCCAGGUUGUGGCCCUGGAGGCCGGGAGUUCAAAUCUCCUCACUCUCCCCA